rnacentral:lncRNA from 1 species
CAUGCCAUACUAUCAUAAUAUCUCCCCAUACGCCAGCACAACCAACGCCACGUAUGAGGUCUGUCUCAACGCCGGAUAACCUACGCCACGCGAGACCUGCACAUCAUAUCACAUAUCUCCCCAUACGCCGGUACAACCAACGCCAAGUAUGGGGUCUGUCCACACGCCAGAUAACCUACGCCACGUGCGACCUCAACACAAUAUCACAAUAUCUCCCCAUACGCCGGUACAACCAACGCCACGUAUGGGGCCUGUCUCAACGCCGGAUAACCUACGCCACGUGAGACCUGAACAUCAUAUUACAAAUCUCCCCAUACGCCGGUACAACCAACGCCACGUAUGGGGUCUGUCCGCACGCCGGAUAACCUACGCCACGUGGGACCUAACUUUCACUUGGUGGUACUUGUAGUGUAACCAAAAUCCGGGGAGGUACCUAAGGUAGUGCGUAUAGCACUCCAAACUGAUAUUCUAGACUCUUUUGUACCCUUGUACAAACAUAUAUAAAUAUAUAUUAAUUCUAAUAUUGUGUAACCCUCCACAAUGGACUAGCACCCGAUAAUCCCCCAUGGAAAGGUGAGAUUACUCCGGGAGACUCAUGGUCAACCAAGGGUCAAACGGAUCUGCG